GGUGUAGUGUUAUACUGGGUUUCAGGUCUCUGGUUCAUGUUAGGAGGGUAUUAUAGACACAUUACAGACAGACACCGUGUGGUGUAGUGUUAUACUGGGUUUCAGGUCUCUGGUUCAUGUCAGGAGGGUAUUAUAGACACAUUACAGACAGACACCGUGUGGUGUAGUGUUAUACUGGGUUUCAGGUCUCUGGUUCAUGUUAGGAGGGUAUUAUAGACACAUUACAGACAGACACCGUGUGGUGUAGUGUUAUACUGGGUUUCAGGUCUCUGGUUCAUGUUAGGAGGGUAUUAUAGACACAUUACAGACAGACACCGUGUGGUGUAGUGUUAUACUGGGUUUCAGGUCUCUGGUUCAUGUUAGGAGGGUAUUAUAGACACAUUACAGACAGACACCGUGUGGUGUAGUGUUAUACUGGGUUUCAGGUCUCUGGUUCAUGUCAGGAGGGUAUUAUAGACACAUUACAGACAGACACCGUGUGGUGUAGUGUUAUACUGGGUUUCAGGUCUCUGGUUCAUGUUAGGAGGGUAUUAUAGACACAUUACAGACAGACACCGUGUGGUGUAGUGUUAUACUGGGUUUCAGGUCUCUGGUUCAUGUCAGGAGGGUAUUAUAGACACAUUACAGACAGACACCAGAUACUGGGUUUCAGGUCUCUGGUUCAAGUCAGGAGGGUAUUAUAGACA